AUUGAACGCUGGCGGCAGGCCUAACACAUGCAAGUCGAGCGGAUGAAGGGAGCUUGCUCCUGGAUUCAGCGGCGGACGGGUGAGUAAUGCCUAGGAAUCUGCCUGGUAGUGGGGGAUAACGUCCGGAAACGGGCGCUAAUACCGCAUACGUACUGAGGGAGAAAGUGGGGGAUCUUCGGACCUCACGCUAUCAGAGGAGCCUAGGUCGGAUUAGCUAGUUGGUGGGGUAAAGGCCUACAAAGGCGACGAUCCGUAACUGGUCUGAGAGGAUGAUCAGUCACACUGGAACUGAGACACGGUCCAGACUCCUACGGGAGGCAGCAGUGGGGAAUAUUGGACGAUGGGCGAAAGCCUGAUCCAGCCAUGCCGCGUGUGUGAAGAAGGUCUUCGGAUUGUAAAGCACUUUAAGUUGGGAGGAAGGGCAGUAAGUUAAUACCUUGCUGUUUUGACGUUACCAACAGAAUAAGCACCGGCUAACUUCGUG
rnacentral:rRNA from 1 species